rnacentral:tRNA from 1 species
GACGAAGCUCAGUGCUAAAGUGCUUGCCUGACAUGACUGAGGCCCUGGGUUCAAUCCCCAGUUCUGCA